UGGCCGAAUGAGGGGCUUGGUUUCGCGGAGCCUCCUCUAGGCCAGCGGAGGAUCCGCCCACCCAUGAGUCAGAGGAUUUUGUGAGGUCUACUAGAAUGACAGCUCAAACCUGUCCACGUCAACACCAGAGAACCACUAUGGAGAUCGCGUCUUUGGAACCCUCGCUGUACACCGUGAAAGCGGUCUUCAUUCUGGACAACGAUGGCAAUAGACUUCUAUCAAAGUACUACGACACAGAGCUCUACCCCUCCAUGAAGGAGCAGAAGAACUUUGAAAAGAACGUUUUCAACAAGACACACAAAGCUGACACAGAUGAGAUUGCCUUCGUGGAGGGGAUGACGAUCGUGUAUAAGUGCAGCAUCGACCUAUUCUUCUACGUGGUGGGCAGUGCACAGGAGAAUGAGCUCAUGCUCAUGGCUGUACUGAACUGUCUGUUUGAGUCCCUCGGUCAAAUCCUAAGGAAAAAUGUGGAGAGAAGGUGCCUAUUGGACAACAUGGACGGCGUCUUCUUAGUAGUGGACGAAAUUAUUGACGGGGGGGUGAUCUUGGAAAGCGACCCCCAACAGGUCAUCCAGAAGGUCAAUUACAGGCUGGAUGGUUCAGAGCAAGCCUACGGCUUAGGCCUCUUUGAUUACAUCGUUGGUAACAUUGAUGAACAGACGGACAGAAGCCAGUGUGCAUAGCAACAGACUGCCCCUACCACCAGAGAUGACGGGCGGAUGAGAACCCACUGUCAGAGCAGAGCGUGGCUCAGCACAUUACGGACAAAUUGGCUAUGACCUCCAAUAUAAUGCAGUCUGCCAAAGAACAAAUAAAGUGGUCAAUACUCAAAUGAUCUACACUGCCUGUCCAAAGGUCAAAUGUUUUACAGUAAUGGACAGUACGAAUUUAUGUGUAAAUAUUAAGGGGUGUAUUUAGCGAUUUAUGCUUAAAUAGGCUAUAUUUAUAGUAAUUAGUGGCAAAUACAGCGGUUUUCCUAUGAAGGCAAGAUGAUAUUUGUAAUUAUUAUUUUGGAAAUAAUCUGUUUUAAUUUAUUUGAUUUGCAAUAAAAAUCUGAAGAAUUAUGCUAGAUUAUAGCAUAUGAUUUUGUUAAUUUCCCUUAACCCACACAAAAUGCUCUGUAAAGAACGUUUUAAACAAACCAAGAGAACUGAAUUUUGUUUUAAUUUGCUCAGGCCUACACAACAAGGGGAACUGUUGCUUAGGCUUCAAUGAUUAUGAAGUUAUGUUACAGAGAACUUUAAACAUGACAUUUUGAUAUACUACAUUUUAAAGCUUUGUAAGUUUAACAGAAAAAGGGCAAUAGCCUGUGUGUUGUUACAGUAGUUCAGUUUCUGGUUGAAAGUCAGGUUACCCCCAUGUUCAUUAUAGAAUGAUUGUGUGUUCAUAAUAAAACGAAGUUGGCAUAGGUAGGUAGGCGUAUGUUUUUUUCUAAAGCACUGAGAACACCUUUAAGACAAUAAUAAAAUAUAUUUUGUUACUAGCCUGUGAUGGACAAAUAAACUAUUUGAAUAUUUCCUCAUUUUAACGCCAAAUAGGAAGAUAGGCUAAUAAUUGUUAGUUUUGUUGAUUUAUAUUGCCGUCUGUUUUCUAAUUUGAGUCUGCCUGUUGUCAAGCUAAUUAAACUAUUUUUUUGUA